AAGGAAUAUUGGUCAAUGGACGAAAGUCUGAACCAGCCAUGCCGCGUGAAGGAUGAAGGCCCUCUGGGUUGUAAACUUCUUUUAUAUGGGACGAAAAAAGGGAAUUCUUUCUCACUUGACGGUACCAUAGGAAUAAGCACCGGCUAACUCCGUGCCAGCAGCCGCGGUAAUACGGAGGGUGCAAGCGUUAUCCGGAUUCACUGGGUUUAAAGGGAGCGUAGGUGGGCAAGUAAGUCAGUGGUGAAAUCUUUGGGCUUAACCCGAAAACUGCCAUUGAUACUAUUUGUCUUGAAUAUCCUGGAGGUAAGCGGAAUAUGUCAUGUAGCGGUGAAAUGCUUAGAUAUGACAUAGAACACCCAUUGCGAAGGCAGCUUACUACGGGAUUAUUGACACUGAGGCUCGAAAGCGUGGGGAUCAAAC
rnacentral:rRNA from 1 species